GAGUAUUAAAACCCCUUUUCCCAAUUUUCAUUUUAUUUUCUCCUCUUUUCUUCUCUCACUCCUAUCACUCUUUCAGACUCCUUUUCUCUCUUACUUCCAUGCUCUCCCUUCUGACUAACAUCCCCCACUAUUUCUAUCCUUAGCACCAUCGUGACCCUCAGAUCUCUGGUUGAAGUUCAACCUAGAUCUUCAAACAUUCAACCUUAGCCCUUAUAACCCUACCCAAUUGAUGAACCCUAACCAUUGACUUCAUCCAACUCCAUGAACCCUAACACAAACCUAGUAGAAUCCUAACGACCUAAGAACCCAAACCCAUGAACCCUAAUAAUCUAAGAACCCUAACUCAUGAACCCUAACUCAUGAACCUUAACCCAUGAAUCCUAUCAGCCUAAGAACCCUUACCUUGGAGAAUAUGAAUCUUCAUCUCCGUCCUUCGGCCAACCACUCACCUAACCCAAAUUCUCACCUUCCUCACCCAAAUCCAUCCAAACUUGAGUCCUGGCCAUAAAUUCAAACACUUUGCUAAUGAAUUAAACCCUCAAAUUCGAAAAUCAAUCAACAAAAUCUCAUACUCUAAGAACCUAGAGCCCCUUCUGGAUGACCCUAAACCAAACCCUAACCCACAUUAAAACAACACAAAUCACCAACAAAUAUUAAUAUACAUUCCAUCUCAUCUAAGAAACAACAAAAGAGUAAGUAUCAAUGUCUACCAACCUAUAGAGAUAAGGAUCUCUGGUAAAGGUGGUUGAAUAGAGGUUGAUGCUCAAGUCAACUUAGGGUUUCUAUGUGAAACCCUAAAUGCUUCAAUCGGAGCUUUGGUGUUUUGGUUGGGAUUCUGCAGCAACUUAGGGUUUUUUGUUCUAAUUUUUUCCGUCCUUUUUUAGUUUUUGUCUUAGGCUUUUAUAAUAUUUAGAAUUAGGUCAUAAAUUAUGUCUGAUUGAUUUGUUUAGGAAAGAUUUUAUCAGAUUAGAUUCAAUCUAUUGUAAUUGCUCAAACCCAUGGGCCUUUGAUGUAUGUGGACGAAUUUUCAAUUUAAUCUUAGUUUUCCAAUGUA